rnacentral:rRNA from 1 species
AGUGAACGCUGGCGGUAGGCCUAACACAUGCAAGUCGAACGGCAGCACAGUAAGAGCUUGCUCUUACGGGUGGCGAGUGGCGGACGGGUGAGGAAUACAUCGGAAUCUACUUUUUCGUGGGGGAUAACGUAGGGAAACUUACGCUAAUACCGCAUACGACCUACGGGUGAAAGCAGGGGAUCUUCGGACCUUGCGCGAUUGAAUGAGCCGAUGUCGGAUUAGCUAGUUGGCGGGGUAAAGGCCCACCAAGGCGACGAUCCGUAGCUGGUCUGAGAGGAUGAUCAGCCACACGGGAACUGAGACACGGUCCAGACUCCUACGGGAGGCAGCAGUGGGGAAUAUUGGACAAUGGGCGCAAGCCGGAUCCAGCCAUACCGCGUGGGUGAAGAAGGCCUUCGGGUUGUAAAGCCGUUUUGUUGGGAAAGAAAAGCAGCAGGUUAAUACCCCGCUGUUCUGACGGUACCCAAAGAAUAAGCACCGGCUAACUUCGUG